ACGACGGGUAGGUGGUCUGAGAGGAUGGUCCCCACACUGGGACUGAGACACUGCCCAGACUCCUACGGGAGGCUGCAGUCGAGAAUCUUCCGCAAUGGGCGCAAGCCUGACGGAGCGAUGCCGCGUGAGGGAUGAAGGCCUUCGGGUUGUAAACCUCUGUCACCCGGGACGAAGAAGUGACGGUACCGGGAGAGGAAGCCACGGCUAACUACGUGCCAGCAGCCGCGGUAAUACGUAGGUGGCGAGCGUUAUUCGGAUUUACUGGGCGUAAAGGGUCCGUAGGGGGUCUGUCAAGUCUGAUGUGAAAUUCCGGGGCUCAACCCCGGACGUGCAUUGGAUACUGCCGGACUUGAGUGCGCGAGAGGAAAGCGGAAUUCCAGGUGUAGCGGUGGAAUGCGUAGAUAUCUGGAAGAACACCCGCGGCGAAGGCGGCUUUCUGGCGCGUCACUGACCCUGAGGGACGAAAGCGUGGGUAGCGAACAGGAUUAGAUACCCUGGUAGUCCACGCCGUAAACGUUGUGCACUAGAUGUGGGGGGUCCUUUGGUCCCUUCCGUGUCCAAGCUAACGCGAUAAGUGCACCGCCUGGGGACUACGGCCGCAAGGCUAAAACUCAAAGGAAUUGACGGGGGCCCGCACAAGCGGUGGAGCAUGUGGCUUAAUUCGAGGCAACGCGAAGAACCUUACCUGGGUUUGACAUAUACCGGACCGGCCGUGAAAGCGGUUUUCUCUUCGGAGUCGGUAUACAGGUGCUGCAGGCUGUCGUCAGCUCGUGCCGUGAGGUGUUCGGUUAAGUCCGGCAACGAGCGCAACCCGUAUCAUCAGUUACCAGCGCGUCAUGGCGGGGACUCUGGUGAGACUGCCCGUGUCAAGCGGGAGGAAGGCGCGGAUGACGUCAAGUCCGUAUGGCCCUUACAUCCAGGGCUGCACACGUGCUACAAUGGUCGGUACAAUGGGCGGCAAGACCGCGAGGUGGAGCCAAUCCCCAAAACCGGCCCCAGUUCGGAUCGGAGUCUGCAACUCGACUCCGUGAAGUCGGAAUCGCUAGUAAAGGCGUAUCAGCAACGACGCCUUGAAUACGUUCCCGGGCCUUGUACACACCGCCCGUCACAUCAUGGAAGCUGGCUGCACCCAAAGUCGUCGGC
rnacentral:rRNA from 1 species